UUUGGUUUCCUGAAGUGAGUCGGAUCCUCCUGUCGCCCCCUGCUGGACGCACCUGCUCGUCUCUGUGAACAGAAACUCUUCAGUUGUUUACAUUCCUGUCGCUGAGUUAUUUAAUCAGCUGUUGGGAUUUAUUAAUAAAUAUUAGUCAUAAAACAGUUAUGGUUACAUUAUAUUUACAUGUUAACGUUUUUAUGAUGUCAUGUGGGUGUAAUUAUCAGCCUCUGAUUCGUCACCAUGCGAGUCUGAACCUCCGCCCCCAAGUAGCAACUGUCCAAUCACACCUUAGCAACUGUUACUCAGCCUGUGCAGGGGCGGAGUUUUGACUGGUCACAUCAUUUUAUCAACUUUUCAGAAACAACAGUGAAAAUGUGAAGAAGAGAUGAAACAGUGUGAGCUGCUCGUGUUCUUGUCAGACUCAGUUGCCUCUGACAGCAGUGACCCGGCGUUACCGAGUCCAGGAGCUGAGAGAAAACGCUGUUAUUUGGUUACUCUGAUAAAAUCUAGAUUCCACACUGAAACGUCGGAGGCGGUCCUGAAUGCAUCCUGACUGAAACCCAGUAACUCUCAGGUGAGGUUAAAACUGAUUCCGCCACAGAAACGUGCCGUCAGGAUGUAAAGCCAACUUCAGACGUGCCGUCAUUGCAUACGGAGUCAGAGGAGACUCGAGAGGGCGGCGCCAACGGAGGCAAAGACCCGAGUUUGAAAUGUUUCAACUAGUUCAGCUGAAAGUGAAGCAGCGUCGUCGUGAUCGUCCCAUCAGGUGUUUACAUCAGUGGCAGUCGUGUGAUUUGGAGGUGUUAGACAUGUUUUAAUGUUUACAGUUAUAGGUGAUGUCAUGUUUCUUUGGACAGAACACGGAUGGAUAAAUAAACAAACUGUAAACAGACGGAUGGAAACAACAACAUGAGGAGGAAAUCCAAACACUGAGCUCAGAGUCUGAAAAUAAUCAGACUAAAGACAGUAGAUGAAACAUCUCACACUUCCUGUCUGUAGAGUCAGGUUGACAUCCUGCCUGAAAACGUCACACUUUACUCUCAACGUCACAGUUUGUGAUGUCACAGCUCGCAGCGGCAUCAGUUUAGGCCUCUGCUGAAAGCUCAGGAUGAGUCUGAAUUCAGACAGGAAGUAGAGACAACAAACAAACAACAGCAGAGUCUGUUGGCAUGGCGAUGUGUCAAUCUGUUCUUCCCAUGAUGCUUUCUGUCCGUUUGUUUUGAUAUAUGAAUUGUAGAGCAGUCUAAAUACAUAAAACAGUGACAUUAUGUGACGCUGAUUAUGGUGAUUACACAUGGAAACAAGCAAGCAAUAAGGUGUGGGUGUGUCUCUGCAGUGAACCAAUCGGGUGUGGGUGUGUCUCUGCAGUGAACCAAUCGGGUGUGGGCGUUUCUCUGCAGUGAACCAAUCAGGUGUGGGCGUGUCUCUGCAGUGAACCAAUCAGGUGUGGGCGUGUCUCUGCAGUGAACCAAUCAGGUGUGGGCGUGUCUCUGCAGUGAACCAAUCAGGUGUGGGCGUGUCUCUGCAGUGAACCAAUCAGGUGUGGGCGUGUCUCUGCAGUGAACCAAUCGGGUGUGGGCGUGUCUCUGCAGUGAACCAAUCAGGUGUGGGCGUGUCUCUGCAGUGAACCAAUCAGGUGUGGGCGUGUCUCUGCAGUGAACCAAUCAGGUGUGGGCGUGUCUCUGCUGUGAACCAAUCGGG